ACGGAAGGCAGCAGUGGGGAAUAUUGCACAAUGGGCGCAAGCCUGAUGCAGCGACGCCGCGUGAGCGAAGAAGUAUUUCGGUACGUAAAGCUCUAUCAGCAGGGAAGAAAAUGACGGUACCUGACUAAGAAGCUCCGGCUAAAUACGUGCCAGCAGCCGCGGUAAUACGUAUGGAGCAAGCGUUAUCCGGAUUUACUGGGUGUAAAGGGAGCGUAGACGGAACAGCAAGUCUGAUGUGAAAGGCAGGGGCUCAACUCCUGGACUGCAUUGGAAACUGUUGAUCUUGAGUGCCGGAGAGGUAAGCGGAAUUCCUAGUGUAGCGGUGAAAUGCGUAGAUAUUAGGAGGAACACCAGUGGCGAAGGCGGCUUACUGGACGGUAACUGACGUUGAGGCUCGAAAGCGUGGGGAGCAAACAGGAUUAGAUACCCUGGUA
rnacentral:rRNA from 1 species